UCGGGAAUUUUGGGCAAUGGGCGAAAGCCUGACCCAGCAACGCCGCGUGAAGGAUGAAGUAUUUCGGUAUGUAAACUUCGAAAGAAUAGGAAGAAUAAAUGACGGUACUAUUUAUAAGGUCCGGCUAACUACGUGCCAGCAGCCGCGGUAAUACAUAGGGUGCAAGCGUUGUCCGGAAUUAUUGGGCGUAAAGAGCUCGUAGGUGGUUCGUCACGUCGGAUGUGAAAAUCUGGGGCUUAACCCCAGACCUGCAUUCGAUACGGGCGAGCUAGAGUGUGGUAGGGGAGACUGGAAUUCCUGGUGUAGCGGUGGAAUGCGCAGAUAUCAGGAGGAACACCAAUGGCGAAGGCAGGUCUCUGGGCCAUUACUGACACUGAGGAGCGAAAGCGUGGGGAGCGAACAGGAUUAGAUACCCAAGUAGUCCCUGAGCGGGCUGGCAAGGCGCAU
rnacentral:rRNA from 1 species